GGGCAUCCCAGUUCCUAUUUUAGAGGGAAUACUUUCAGUUUUUCUCCAUUUAGAAUGAUGUGGCCUUGGGUUUGUCAUUUGUAACUUUUACAAGGUGGAGGUAUGUGCCUUCUAUCCCUAGUUUUUCCAAUGUUCUAAAAGUGAACGGAUGCUCUAUUUUGUUAAAUAUUUUUUUUCUGCAUCCAUUGACAUAACUAUGUGUUUCUUGUCUUUAAGUCUAUUUAUGUGAUGUAUUACAUUCACUGAUUUCUGUAUGUUGAACCAAACUUACUUCCCCAGGAUGAACCCCACUUGAUCACAGUGCACUAUCUUUUUGAUGUGUUUUUGUACGUGAUUUGUCAGUAUUUAAUUCAGAAUUUUUGUACCUAUGUUCAUCAGGUAUAUUGGUCUGAAGUUUUCUUUCCUUGAUGUGUCUUUUUCUGGUUUUGGUAUCAAGAUGAUACCAGCUUCAUAGAAUUAGUUUGGAAGAGAGAUCUCCUUUUUUAUUUUGUGAAAUAAUUCGAGGAGGAUUGGUGUUAAUUCUUCUUUAAAGGCCUAACAGAACUCGGCUGAGAGUCCAUCAGGUCCUGGACUUUUAUUUGCUGGUAGGCUUUUGAUGGCUUCUUCAAUUUCAUAUCAGAACUUGACCUGUUUAAAUAUUCCAUGUCCUCUGGUUCAAUUUGGGUAGGUCACAUGUCUAUAGGAAUUUGUCAAUAUCUAGAUUUUUCUAGCUCAUUGGAAUAAGAAUCUUCAAAGUACCUUCCAAUAAUCCUCUGGAUUUCAUUAGUGUCUAUGGCAAUAUUUCCAUUUUCACCACAGUUUUAACAAUUUGAGUUUUUUCUCUUUCUUUUAGUUAGCUUGGCUAAGGGUUUAUUGACUUUAUUCUUUCAAAGAAGCAACUUUUUGUUUGGUUGAUUGUGUGAAUUAUUAUUUCACUGAGUUCAGCUCUGAUUUUGAUUACUUUCUGUCUUCUAUUGAUUUUUGGUGUUGAUUUGUUCUUUUUCUGGGGCUUUGGGAUUUAAUGUUAGAUUAUUUAUUGGUGUAUUUCUAUUCUUUUAAUGAAUGAGCUCAGUGCUGUUAAUUUUCCUCUUAGAAGUGCCUUCAAAAUGUCCCAGAGGUUUUGAAAUGUUGUAUCACUAUUCUAAUUUACUUCUAAGUAUUUUUUAUUUCUUCCCUGAUUUCUUCUGCUAUCCAUUC
rnacentral:lncRNA from 1 species